AAAAAUAAAAAUAAAAAUAAAAAGAGCUUCAAAAUACCUCGACAAAAUUUUGAAAAUGAAACGAAAAAAAGUGCAUCAAGCACAAGGUUAUGGAUGGAAAUAUUCGCAUGAUCGCUCAGAAUGUCUCAAAGGUUCAUACCCUUGAAUGGAACCAAACGCUAAUUCUCAAGAGGCAGAAUCCUGUCCCGUUGUGGUCGAUUGAGCCCACUGAUUUGAGAGGCUUGUUUGAUUAACCUUGAUCCGCGGGA
rnacentral:lncRNA from 1 species